rnacentral:rRNA from 1 species
UACGUAGGGGGCAAGCGUUGUUCGGAAUUACUGGGCGUAAAGGGCUCGUAGGCGGCCAACUAAGUCGGAUGUGAAAUCCCCAGGCUUAACCUGGGAACUGCAUCCGAUACUGGAUGGCUUGAAUCCGGGAGAGGGAUGCAGAAUUCCAGGUGUAGCGGUGAAAUGCGUAGAUAUCUGGAGGAAUACCGGUGGCGAAGGCGGCAUCCUGGACCGGCAUUGACGCUGAGGCGCGAAAGCCAGGGGAGCAAACGGG